rnacentral:rRNA from 1 species
ACGAACGCUGGCGGCGUGCUUAACACAUGCAAGUCGAACGGAAAGGCCCUGCUUUUGUGGGGUGCUCGAGUGGCGAACGGGUGAGUAACACGUGAGUAACCUGCCCUUGACUUUGGGAUAACUUCAGGAAACUGGGGCUAAUACCGGAUAGGAGCUCCUGCUGCAUGGUGGGGGUUGGAAAGUUUCGGCGGUUGGGGAUGGACUCGCGGCUUAUCAGCUUGUUGGUGGGGUAGUGGCUUACCAAGGCUUUGACGGGUAGCCGGCCUGAGAGGGUGACCGGCCACAUUGGGACUGAGAUACGGCCCAGACUUCUACGGGAGGCAGCAGUGGGGAAUAUUGCACAAUGGGCGGAAGCCUGAUGCAGCAACGCCGCGUGCGGGAUGACGGCCUUCGGGUUGUAAACCGCUUUCGCCUGUGACGAAGCGUGAGUGACGGUAAUGGGUAAAGAAGCACCGGCUAACUACGUGC